rnacentral:rRNA from 1 species
CCGNUAAACUGCUUGGGAAACUGAUANUCUAGAGUAAGGGAGAGGCAGAUGGAAUUCUUGGUGUAGGGGUAAAAUCCGUAGAUAUCAAGAAGAAUACCUAUUGCGAAGGCGNUCUGCUGGAACUUAACUGACGCUAAUGCGUGAAAGCGUGGGGAGCAAACAGGAUUAGAUACCCUGGUAGUCCACGCCCUAAACGAUGUAUACCGGUUGUUGCUGUGCUAGUCACGGCAGUAAUCCACCUAACGGAUUAAGUAUACCGCCUGGGGAGUACGGUCGCAAGAUUAAAACUCAAAGGAAUAGACGGGGACCCGCACAAGCGGUGGAGCAUGUGGUUUAAUUCGAAGAUACGCGAAGAACCUUACCCGGACUUGAUAUCUAACAAAUCAUCCAGAGAUGGAAGAGUGUCUGCUUGCAGAAAUGUUAAGACAGGUGCUGCACGGCUGUCGUCAGCUCGUGUCGUGAGAUGUUGGGUUAAGUCCCGCAACGAGCGCAACCCACGUCAUUAGUUGCUAACGGUUCGGCCGAGCACUCUAAUGAGACUGCCUUCGUAAGGAGGAGGAAGGUGUGGACGACGUCAAGUCAUCAUGGCCCUUAUGUCCGGGGCGACACACGUGCUACAAUGGCAUAUACAAUAAGACGCAAUAUCGCGAGAUGGAGCAAAUCUAAAAAAUAUGUCCCAGUUCGGAUUGGAGUCUGCAACUCGACUCCAUGAAGCCGGAAUCGCUAGUAAUCGUAGAUCAGCCAUGCUACGGUGAAUACGUUCCCGGGUCUUGUACUCACCGCCCGUCACACCAUGGGAGUUGAUUUC